rnacentral:rRNA from 1 species
UCCCGCGUGUGCGAUGAAGGCCUUCGGGUUGUAAAGCACUUUUGGCAGGAAAGAAACGGCCCUGGUUAAUACCUGGGGCAACUGACGGUACCUGCAGAAUAAGCACCGGCUAACUACGUGCCAGCAGCCGCGGUAAUACGUAGGGUGCAAGCGUUAAUCGGAAUUACUGGGCGUAAAGCGUGCGCAGGCGGUUCGGAAAGAAAGAUGUGAAAUCCCAGGGCUUAACCUUGGAACUGCAUUUUUAACUACCGGGCUAGAGUGUGUCAGAGGGAGGUGGAAUUCCGCGUGUAGCAGUGAAAUGCGUAGAGAUGCGGAGGAACACCGAUGGCGAAGGCAGCCUCCUGGGAUAACACUGACGCUCAUGCACGAAAGCGUGGGGAGCAAACAGGAUUAGAUACCCUGGUAGUCCACGCCCUAAACGAUGUCAACUAGCUGUUGGGGGCUUCGGCCCUUGGUAGCGCAGCUAACGCGUGAAGUUGACCGCCUGGGGAGUACGGUCGCAAGAUUAAAACUCAAAGGAAUUGACGGGGACCCGCACAAGCGGUGGAUGAUGUGGAUUAAUUCGAUGCAACGCGAAAAACCUUACCUACCCUUGACAUGUCUGGAAUGCCGAAGAGAUUUGGCAGUGCUCGCAAGAGAACCGGAACACAGGUGCUGCAUGGCUGUCGUCAGCUCGUGUCGUGAGAUG